AACGAACGCUGGCGGCAUGCCUAACACAUGCAAGUCGAACGAGACCUUCGGGUCUAGUGGCGCACGGGUGCGUAACGCGUGGGAACCUGCCCUUAGGUUCGGAAUAACUCCCCGAAAGGGGUGCUAAUACCGGAUAAUGUCUUCGGACCAAAGAUUUAUCGCCUUUGGAUGGGCCCGCGUUGGAUUAGCUAGUUGGUAGGGUAAAAGCCUACCAAGGCGACGAUCCAUAGCUGGUCUGAGAGGAUGAUCAGCCACACUGGGACUGAGACACGGCCCAGACUCCUACGCGAGGGAGCAGUGGGGAAUAUUGGACAGUGGGGUAAAGGAUGAUCCAGCAAGGCCGGGUGAAUGAUGUAGGCCUUAGAGUUGUAAAGCGCUAUUAACCAGGAUGAUAAUGACAGUACCGGGAGAAUAAGCUCCGGCUAACUCCGUG
rnacentral:rRNA from 1 species